rnacentral:lncRNA from 1 species
UUUCUUUCCUUCCGUCUAGGUUACGUGGAACACAUUCUUAGGUCAGAAUCGAAAUCCCUUCCAAGGGGGGAGGAAAACUAACUCAAAAGUGUAGCAAAAAGUGGCUGUCUAUAUCGGCCUAAGAAAGAGCCGUAAGGACUCGUACAGGUCGGGCAGUGGGAGUCGGAACAUUCGUAUCACCAAGAUCUGACCUUCUCGAAUAAGAGACUUCUCUCACGAGUUGGGCUUGAGGAUGGAAUAAGAAAUUCGUUCCCUUGAUUAAUUUAAUUUGCACACCCACACAGUUCUGUGAUGCUUCACUUAUAUCAAUAUUGAGGC